CUCCUACGGGAGGCAGCAGUGAGGAAUAUUGGUCAAUGGGCGGAAGCCUGAACCAGCCAAGCCGCGUGAGGGAUGAAGGUACAGAGUAUCGUAAACCUCUUUUGUCAGGGAACAAAGGCGGGGACGUGUCCCCGGAUGAGUGUACCCGGAGAAAAAGCAUCGGCUAACUCCGUGCCAGCAGCCGCGGUAAUACGGAGGAUGCGAGCGUUAUCCGGAUUUAUUGGGUUUAAAGGGUGCGCAGGCGGCGAGUUAAGUCAGCGGUAAAAUUUCGGGGCUCAACCCCGACAAGCCGUUGAAACUGGCUU
rnacentral:rRNA from 1 species